AGGAGUAUAGUUCAACGGUAGAACAACGAGGCUUCAACCCCGUGUGUUGUGGGUUCAAUCCUGCUACUCCUGCCA
rnacentral:tRNA from 1 species